UACGGGGGGGAGCAAGCGUUGUUCGGAUUUACUGGGCGUAAAGGGCGCGUAGGCGGCGCCACAAGUCACUUGUGAAAACUCUGGGCUCAACUCAGAGCCUGCAAGCGAAACUGUGGUGCUGGAGUAUGGGAGAGGUGCGUGGAAUUCCCGGUGUAGCGGUGAAAUGCGCAGAUAUCAGGAGGAACACCCGUGGCGAAAGCGGCUCUCUGGGACGGUACUGACGCUGAGACGCGAAAGCGUGGGGAGCAAACAGG
rnacentral:rRNA from 1 species